UGACGGGAGUGCUUCGGUACUGAGCUAGCGGCGGACGGGUGAGUAAAGCUUAGGAAUCUGCCAUUUAGUGGGGGACAACAUUCCGAAAGGGAUGCUAAUACCGCAUACGCCCUACGGGGGAAAGCAGGGGAUCUUCGGACCUUGCGCUAAAUGAUGAGCCUAAGUCGGAUUAGCUAGUUGGUGGGGUAAAGGCCUACCAAGGCGACGAUCUGUAGCGGGUCUGAGAGGAUGAUCCGCCACACUGGGACUGAGACACGGCCCAGACUCCUACGGGAGGCAGCAGUGGGGAAUAUUGGACAAUGGGCGCAAGCCUGAUCCAGCCAUGCCGCGUGUGUGAAGAAGGCCUUUUGAUUGUAAAGCACUUUAAGCGAGGAGGAGGCUACCUGGAUUAAUACUCUAGGAUAGUGGACGUUACUCGCAGAAUAAGCACCGGCUAACUCUGUGCCAGCAGCCGCGGUAAUACAGAGGGUGCGAGCGUUAAUCGGAUUUACUGGGCGUAAAGCGUGCGUAGGCGGCUGAUUAAGUCGGAUGUGAAAUCCCUGAGCUUAACUUAGGAAUUGCAUUCGAUACUGGUCAGCUAGAGUAUGGGAGAGGAUGGUAGAAUUCCAGGUGUAGCGGUGAAAUGCGUAGAGAUCUGGAGGAAUACCGAU
rnacentral:rRNA from 1 species